rnacentral:lncRNA from 1 species
GACGAUAGGUCAGAAUGCAAAUGUUAAAAGUCCAGUGAUCAUUUUGCUAUUUCAGAAAUGACUGGUUUGAGAUUUUUAUAAGAAUGGGGACUGAACUGUACUUUCCCAAAGUUAAGAUGACUGAUAUGCAAAUGGCUGAUAUUUGGGGACUGUUCUGCGAUAGUUUGAAGUAUGAGGGAUGAUUCUGAGAUUUUCAAAUCUGGCCAGUAAAAUAUCAGUCCUGCCCCUGGAAGUUUCAGCGAGUUGCAAUUAAGUAAACGAGGCAUAUCUCAACUGUUUGAGCUUCGAACGACAUACUAUUAGAACUUGUGGUUUUGUGGCGACAAGGUGAAUCAUCUCGGAUACAUUUCUGAGAUGUUGGUUCAUCAAUGAGGUGAGUUGGUUUAAAG